GCGACCUUCCUGCCACUACGCUGCAACCAGGCGGCCCACGGUGCGGCCACUUUGGGUUGCUAAAUAUCUAGAUACUUCCGGCCCGCAUUGCCAGGUCCACUAGGCGUCGCCACCGUCCGGUAAUUACCGUCGCGCUGCCUGGCGGCCGGGUCUUCUGCGUGUGGCCCCCCUCACCUCCCGGCCCCGCUGUGGGAUCCGUCAAGCUAGUACUUUCCACGAGCCAAGCCCUUGGGACGGCGCCUGCCACCGGAUGAACACUCGAACUAUUUACAAGAGGUGGACAUCAGCAAUACAGAGAUCAAAUGAGAGAGGCCUCAUCAGAGGAGAGUCGAUGGAGAAAACGGGCAGUCCUACACGUUUGCGGAGAGGAAGUGGUAACAACCGUUACCGGUGACAACGCAGACGGUGCACGCGACGACGACAAACGAGGAUGGGGGAGAGGAGUUAUGUG